rnacentral:rRNA from 1 species
UGAGGAACAUGACCUUCGGCGGGGGAUAGCCGGCCCAACGGCCGGGUAAUACCGCGUACGACCACAUGGGGACAUCCCUGAGUGGUGAAAGCAGCAAUUCGCCGAUGGAGUGCCUCGCGGCCUAUCAGCUAGUUGGUGAGGUAACGGCUCACCAAGGCGACGACGGGUAGCUGGUCUGAGAGGAUGGCCAGCCACAUUGGGACUGAGACACGGCCCAGACUCCGUAGGG